CCAUCCCAGUUCGGAUCGCAGGCUGCAACCCGCCUGCGUGAAGUUGGAAUCGCUAGUAAUCGCGGAUCAGCAUGCCGCGGUGAAUACGUUCCCGGGCCUUGUACACACCGCCCGUCACACCAUGAGAGUCGGGAACACCCGAAGUCCGUAGCCUAACAGCAAGGGGGCGCGGCCGAAGGUGGGUUCGAUAAUUGGGGUGAAGUCGUAACAAGGUAAC
rnacentral:rRNA from 1 species